rnacentral:rRNA from 2 species
GUUGAUGACGUGCUUGCACUGAUUUCAACAAUGAAGCGAGUGGCGAACUGGUGAGUAACACGUGGGGAAUCUGCCCAGAAGCAGGGGAUAACACUUGGAAACAGGUGCUAAUACCGUAUAACAACAAAAUCCGCAUGGAUUUUGUUUGAAAGGUGGCUUCGGCUAUCACUUCUGGAUGAUCCCGCGGCGUAUUAGUUAGUUGGUGAGGUAAAGGCCCACCAAGACGAUGAUACGUAGCCGACCUGAGAGGGUAAUCGGCCACAUUGGGACUGAGACACGGCCCAAACUCCUACGGGAGGCAGCAGUAGGGAAUCUUCCACAAUGGACGAAAGUCUGAUGGAGCAAUGCCGCGUGAGUGAAGAAGGGUUUCGGCUCGUAAAACUCUGUUGUUAAAGAAGAACACCUUUGAGAGUAACUGUUCAAGGGUUGACGGUAUUUAACCAGAAAGCCACGGCUAACUACGUGCCAGCAGCCGCGGUAAUACGUAGGUGGCAAGCGUUGUCCGGAUUUAUUGGGCGUAAAGCGAGCGCAGGCGGUUUUUUAAGUCUGAUGUGAAAGCCUUCGGCUUAACCGGAGAAGUGCAUCGGAAACUGGGAGACUUGAGUGCAGAAGAGGACAGUGGAACUCCAUGUGUAGCGGUGGAAUGCGUAGAUAUAUGGAAGAACACCAGUGGCGAAGGCGGCUGUCUAGU